ensembl:lncRNA
GGAGUGUAUGGAAUGUUGAAGUGUAUGGAAUGUUGGAGUGUAAGGAAUACUGAAGUGUAAGGAAUGUUGGAUUGUAUGGAAUGUUGAAGUGUAUGGAAUGUUGGAGUGUAAGGAAUGUUGAAGUGUAAGGAAUACGGAUGUGUAAGGAAUGUUGGAGUGUAUGGAAUGUUGGAGUGUAAGGAAUGUUGAAGUGUAAGGAAUACUGAAGUGUAAGGAAUGUUGGAGUGUAAGGAAUGUUGGAGUGUAAGGAAUGUUGGAGUGUAAGGAAUGUUGAAGUGUAAGGAAUGUUGGGAUGUAAGGAAUGUUGGAGUGUAUGGAAUGUUGGAGUGUAAGGAAUACUGAAGUGUAUGGAAUGUUGGAGUGUAAGGAAUGUUGAAGUGUAAGGAAUACUGAAGUGUAGGAAUGUUGGAGUGUAAGGAAUGUUGAAGUGUAAGGAAUACUGAAGUGUAAGGAAUGUUGGAGUGUAUGGAAUGUUGAAGUGUAAGGAAUACUGUAGUGUAAGGAAUGUUGGAGUGUAUGGAAUGUUGGAGUGUAAGGAAUACUGAAGUGUAAGGAUGUUGGAGUGUAUGGAAUGUUGAAGUGUAAGGAAUACUGAAGUGUAAGGAAUGUUGGAGUGUAUGGAAUGUUGGAGUGUAAGGAAUGUUUGGAGUGUAAGGAAUGUUGAAGUGUAAGGAAUGUUGGAGUGUAAGGAAUGUUGGAGUGUAAGGAAUACUGAAGUGUAAGGAAUGUUGGAGUGUAAGGAAUACUGUAGUGUAAGGAAUGUUGAAGUGUAAGGAAUGUUGGAGUGUAAGGAAUACUGUAGUGUAAGGAAUGUUGAAGUGUAAGGAAUGUUGAAGUGUAAGGAAUACUGAAGUGUAAGGAAUACUGAUGUGUAAGGAAUACUGAAGUGUAAGGAAUGUUGGAGUGUAAGGAAUACUGUAGUGUAAGGAAUGUUGAAGUGUAAGGAAUGUUGGAGUGUAAGGAAUGUUGGAGUGUAAGGAAUGUUGGGUGUAAGGAAUGUUGGAGUGUAAGGAAUGUUGGAGUGUAAGGAAUACUGAUGUGUAAGGAAUACUGAAGUGUAAGGAAUGUUGGAGUGUAAGGAAUACUGUAGUGUAAGGAAUGUUGAAGUGUAAGGAAUGUUGGAGUGA